GGCUCGGUAGCUCAGCUGGGAGAGCACCGGACUGAAAAGCAGCGGGUCGGCGGUUCGAUCCCGUCCCCAUCCACCA
rnacentral:tRNA from 1 species